AGACCUUUAUCCAACCGCCCAAACUGAUGCUGGGCUGCCUAUAGAAGAGUGCACCGGGUAGAAACCCGGAUGAGCAACUACNGGCAAGUCUGGCUGCAAGCGCUUCCCUUUCAACAAUUUCACGUGCUUUUUAACUCUCUNUCCAAAGUGCUUUUCAUCUUUGGAUCACUCUACUUGUGCGCUAUCGGUCUCUGGCCAGUAUUUAGCUUUAGAAGAAAUUUACCUCCCAUUUAGAGCUGCAUUCCCAAACAACUCGACUCNNCGAACGGGCUUUACACGGUNAAGGCUAGCGACCUCCUACGGGAUUCUCACCCUCUGUGAC
rnacentral:rRNA from 1 species